AUGGCUGCUGACAUCAGCCAGUGGGCCAGGCUGCUAUGCCUGCAGGAGGUGGACUAGCCGCCCCAGCAUGCCCUGCGGGUCGACUACGCUGGGCAAAGUGCUAAUACCCACCCAGGUUAUGAAUAGGCCCAGCAGCAUUUCAUGGGAUGGCCUUGAUCCUGGGAAACUCUACACUCUGGUCCUCACUGACGCAGAUGCUCCCAGAAGGAAGGACCUCAAAUUCAAGGACUGACACCACUUCCUGGUGGUCAACAUGAAGGGCAAUGACAUUAGCAGUGGCACUGUCCUCUCCGAUUAUGUGGGCUCCAAGUUCAAGGUGAAGUCCUUCGGCAAGAAAUACAACCUGGGAGCCCAGGUGGCUGGCACAUGUUACCAAGCAGAGUGGGACAACUAUGUGCCCAAACUGUAUGAACAGCUGGAAGGGAAGUAG